rnacentral:rRNA from 1 species
GACGAACGCUGGCGGCGUGCUUAACACAUGCAAGUCGAACGGAAAGGCCCUGCUUUUGUGGGGUGCUCGAGUGGCGAACGGGUGAGUAACACGUGAGUAACCUGCCCUUGACUUUGGGAUAACUUCAGGAAACUGGGGCUAAUACCGGAUAGGAGCUCCUGCUGCAUGGUGGGGGUUGGAAAGUUUCGGCGGUUGGGGAUGGACUCGCGGCUUAUCAGCUUGUUGGUGGGGUAGUGGCUUACCAAGGCUUUGACGGGUAGCCGGCCUGAGAGGGUGACCGGCGACAUUGCGACUGAGAUACGGCCCAGUCUCCUACGGGAGGCAGCAGUGGGGAAUAUGGCACAAUGGGGGGAAGCCUGAUGCAGCAACGCCGCGUGCGGGAUGACGGCCUUCGGGUUGUAAACCGCUUUCGCCUGUGACGAAGCGUGAGUGACGGUAAUGGGUAAAGAAGCACCGGCUAACUACGUG